rnacentral:lncRNA from 10 species
ACUGGGUUUGUGGGUGUGUUCUUGAGUGGUGCGAAUUAGCACCGGCCCCCAACAUUCAGUGACAGCUCUCAGGGUGAGGGCCGCUCCCUAGACCUUGAUGUCUCCCUGGGCUGUCGUGGGACCGCUUCCUUCCACACUCCUGGGAUAUCCUCCACCCCGAGGCCUCAGUUCUCACCCACUCUCGGGGCUCCCCAACCUCCGUCUCCAGCAGGGGCUUUGCCUUCCGCCCCACCUGCAGCACAUCCUCCCGCCCACCGGACAGCUCCACCCACGGCACCCGCAAGCACCUCAGGCUUCCCACGUUGGAAGCCGAGCUCGUCUUCUCCGCAGCCACAACCUGCUCAGUCUGCUCAUCACCUGAAGUGAGGCGAGCCUCAGGCCCUCCCACCUCACUCCGUGCCAGUCAGGUGCUAAGCUCUGUCCCAUCUGCCUCCCAGCCCCUCUCCUGUUCAUGCCCUCUUGGCUCAGGCCACCGCCAAAUCUCAUCUGGACACGUGGAACGGUUUCUGUCUGACCCCCUCUCAUCCACGGGACACAGUAUUCUAGAGUGGGCUUCUGAAAGGCAAAUAUGGCCCCAUCCCUCCUCCAGUUUAAGAUCUCUCCAAGGCUCCCCAGGUGCUUAAGUUACUCAGCUUGGCUUGCAAGGGCUUUGCUGGCUGCUUCCUGCAUCCCCGCUGGCCAUCUUUCCCAGGGUCUGAUGUUUUACAAAUCCACAAAGACCUUCCUUAAGAGCCUCCGUGGCGGGGCGCGGUGGUUUACGCCUGUAAUCCCAGCACUUUGGGAGGCUGAGGCAGGCGGAUCACUUGAGCUCAGGAGUUCGGGACCAGUCUGGCCAAAAUGGCGAAACACCAUGUCUACUAAAAAUACAAAAAUUAGCCGGGCGUGGUGGCGCAGGCCUGUAAUCCCAGCUACUUGGGAGGCUGAGGCAGGAGAAUCGCUUGAACCCGGGAGAUGGUUGUUACAGAGAGCCAGGAUUGUGCCACUGCACUCCUGCCUGGGCGACAGACUCUGGCACGCGCACGCACACACAAGAAAGAAGGGGGUAAUGAAAAUAAGUAUCAUCUACUUUACAGAA